rnacentral:rRNA from 1 species
AACGAACGCUGGCGGCGUGCCUAAUACAUGCAAGUCGAACGAGAAAACCUUCGGGUGAGUAUAGUGGCGCACGGGAGAGUAAUGCAUAGGAACGUACCUUUUGGAGGGGGAUAACCACUGGAAACGGUGGCUAAUACCGCAUGUUGACGCAAGUCUAAAGAUGGCCUCUACUUGUAAGCUAUCGCCAAAAGAUCGGCCUAUGUCCCAUUAGCUUGUUGGUGAGGUAAAGGCUCACCAAGGCUACGAUGGGUAGCUGGUUUGAGAGGAUGAUCAGCCUCACUGGGACUGAGACACGGCCCAG